AUUGAACGCUGGCGGAAUGCUUUACACAUGCCAGUCGAGCGGCAGCACGGGGGCAACCCUGGUGGCGAGCGGCGAACGGGUGAGUAAUACAUCGGAACAUGCCCAGUCGUGGGGGAUAACACUUCGAAAGAAGUGCUAAUACCGCAUACGUCCUGAGGGGGAAAGCGGGGGAUCGCAAGACCUCGCGCGAUUGGAGUGGCCGAUGUCAGAUUAGCUAGUUGGUGGGGUAAAGGCCUACCAAGGCAACGAUCUGUAGCUGGUCUGAGAGGAUGAUCAGCCACACUGGGACUGAGACACGGCCCAGACUCCUACGGGAGGCAGCAGUGGGGAAUUUUGGACAAUGGGGGCAACCCCGAUCCAGCCAUUCCGCGUGAGUGAAGAAGGCCUUCGGGUUGUAAAGCUCUUUCGGCAGGAACGAAACGGUGAGCUCUAACAUAGCUUGCUAAUGACGGUACCUGAAGAAGAAGCACCGGCUAACUACGUG
rnacentral:rRNA from 1 species